GGGCGUCUCUUUCUCAUUGCGAGUGGAGGCGCACCCAGAGCGUACACGCUGAUACCCGAAAGAUGGUGAACUAUGCCUGGCCAGGACGAAGCCAGGGGAAACCCUGGUGGAGGUCCGCAGCGAUUCUGACGUGCAAAUCGAUCGUCGGAGCUGGGUAUAGGGGCGAAAGACCAAUCGAACCAUCUAGUAGCUGGUUCCCUCCGAAGUUUCCCUCAGGAUAGCUUGCGCUCAUGUGAACGAGUCUCAUCCGGUAGAGCGAAUGAUUAGAGGCCUUGGGGUCGAAACGACCUCAACCUAUUCUCAAACUCCAAAUAGAUGAGAACUCCGGCUUUCUUGAACUUUGUUUUUGAAGCCGGGGGCUCGGAUCAGAGUGCCAAGUGGGCCAAUUUU
rnacentral:rRNA from 5 species